AACGAACGCUGGCGGCAUGCCUAACACAUGCAAGUCGAACGAGACCUUCGGGUCUAGUGGCGCACGGGUGCGUAACGCGUGGGAAUCUGCCCCUCGGUUCGGAAUAACACAGAGAAAUUUGUGCUAAUACCGGAUAAUGACGAAAGUCCAAAGAUUUAUCGCCGAGGGAUGAGCCCGCGUAAGAUUAGCUAGUUGGUGGGGUAAUGGCCUACCAAGGCGACGAUCUUUAGCUGGUCUGAGAGGAUGAUCAGCCACACUGGGACUGAGACACGGCCCAGACUCCUACGGGAGGCAGCAGUGGGGAAUAUUGGACAAUGGGCGAAAGCCUGAUCCAGCAAUGCCGCGUGAGUGAUGAAGGCCUUAGGGUUGUAAAGCUCUUUUACCAGGGAUGAUAAUGACAGUACCUGGAGAAUAAGCUCCGGCUAACUCCGUG
rnacentral:rRNA from 1 species